GUUUUAUACUACUCACAGCUCUCCAAAGAUACCUCAGCUUUCCUCUGGAGAAGCAGGACCUCAGGCUGUAAUAUUUUCUGCAUCAUUGAAAGUGUUCAGGCCCAGGCUGGACAAGGACAUGUCUGGCAGGUUGUUGGACGGGGGAUUCAACAUCAAAUGCAAUUGGACUCAAGGUCCCUAAGGGUCCCUUAUUUCUUACUGCUCUGAGAUUCUAUACAAAGAAUAUUUUUAUUCUUUUGGCCAUUGAGCAUAGGCAUUCACCCACUUAACUACAUUUCUCAAAUAGUGAAGGUUUUGAAUAUUUUUCUCUUUAGACACAACUUAUAACAUUAAAACCUUUUUAUUUAGCAAAAUUUCCUAAGGAAAAUUUCUGUAUCUACCUAUCUAGUUAUCCAUCCACAUCUAUAUAUACCCCUGUAAACAUGACUUGACUAUAAUUUAUCUCAUGAAAAGUUAAUGAAUUUUAAAUAUGGCUAGCUAGAGGUGAAGAAUUUUGUUUUUAGAAAUACCAGCAAAAAGGAAAUGUCAAAAUAAUUUCAAUAAGGUAAAAAUCUUUUAUCUGCAAUUAUAGAACUAAGUGAGUUUGUGGCGAAGUAGAAUCUUAGUGAUUGACUCUGUUUGAUUUUUAGACCUCAAAACUUGGGAGCCCAGGCUCCCGCAGUGACAGAAAGACCCAUGUAUGGGCCUGGACCAGCCAUGGGGAAUGUCAUUAUUGCUGGUGCUUCUUUUGCCACUGCACAGUGCUGCUGGCUGGGCUCCUCCUGCAUCUUCAGUCAAUGUGCGCCGGAUCCCUCAGAGAUGGCUCCCAUGGUCAGCAGAUUUCCACCGACCGCAGAUGUACCUCCAGGGAUCCUGGCCACUCUUCUCAAGGCCUUUUCCACGAGAGGAAAUGAAGAACAGAGGCACAAACUUCAUUGCCAUGUGUGAGAACCUUCCAAAUAACCCUGAAACUGACGGCGUUGUGCUUGAACUGAAAGCUCUUUUCUCCUUGGUAAGGAGAACGGAUCAUAAAAUUAUUACCACGGUGCAGACUAAGGAGGCACCAUAUUGCUGGGAGGAACAUCUUGUCUUGAGAAUGUAUUCCACAGCUUCAACACCGGAUUUGAAGACUGAAAGGAUGAGUAAGGAGCAGCAAGUUUUAGGUAAAUGGUUUUGCCAGACAAACUUUGACAGAAUAUAUGUGUAUGUGUGUGUUUAUUUUGAAUCUCAAUCACAAUUUCAUUAGUUAUCAAGAUGUUGUUCUAGAAAUUUAUUAUGAAGUAACUUGAAAAACAGUAGUUUAGUCUCUGACCAUGGAAGGCAAAAAUGAGCAUUUUAUUUC
rnacentral:lncRNA from 1 species